UCUUCGGCAGUAGCCGGCUGCCACUCAACCCCGUGCCUGACUGAGCUGUGGUAGAAGGAUUGAGGCCAGCACAGAGGAGGAUCAGCAGGAAAUGGUUGUCCUCAUCUAAUCCGUCAGUACCAGACAGUGAACAUCUCUCCCCCAGGAUGCUGAGGGAGGGUGCUGGAGGGAAGGAUGUGGAACUACAGCCUCUGCUCUCAAGAAGCUCAGAUCUGGGCAGGGAACAUCACAUACCAGGGCUGUCGGGGGGUGGAGGGCUGGGGGAGGGAUAGCAUUAGGGGAAAUACCUAAUGUAAAUGACAAGUUGAUGGGUGCAGCAAACCAACAUGGCACACGUAUACCUAUGUAACAAAC
rnacentral:lncRNA from 1 species